rnacentral:snRNA from 1 species
GGCUCGCUUCGGCGGGUC